rnacentral:rRNA from 1 species
AUGGGCUGCAUGGGCCGGUGCUGGGACAAAUGCAAGUGGCCACUAGCGUGCUUCGCCGCCCUCGCCGCCGUCAUCAUCAUCGUCGUCAUGGUCGCCGCCUACAGCUUCGCCAUCCAGCCAUCCAUCACCGUCGAGGACGCCUCGCUGGCCAGGUUCGCGCUGGCGACCACCCCGACGACGUCGCUCGGGUACAACCUCUCGCUGCGGCUCGUCGUCCGCAACCGGAACUGGGCGACGACCAUGAAGAACACGGAGCCGCUGGAGGCGGCGUACAAGUUCGACGGGCAGCAGUUCGACCGCGUGCAGGUCGCCGACAAGGGCGACAAGCACGGCCCCAGGAAGACGCGGGUGUACCGCCUCGUCACGGGCCAGGAGAGCGGCUACGUGUCGCUGGGCAACGCCGGCGUCGCCGCGUACAAGGACCAGAACAAGACCGGGGAGUUCGAGCUGGAGGUGGCGGUCACCGGCGAGGUGCGGUACACGCUGCAGCUGAAGAAGAACAAGCUGGCGGGGACCUGCAAGCUCAAGCUGAAGCUCGACUCGCCGGCGACGGCCGCCGUGGUGUUCGAGAAGGUGAAAUGCAAGCUCGAGAAGGAGAAGAAGGACAAGGAGUAG